GCGCUCCAAGAGGGCCUGUGCAGGUUAAAUGGAAUGCGGCUAUUAAGGAGCCCUUUCAUGGUGAAGAUUUGACAGCUAUACAGAGUCCCCUGUGUCCGAGGGUUGGGCAAGGGGAGUACAGAGACCGGCACACAGGGAACCAGAAACAUCCAUGGAACAAAUGGCUACAGAAAAACUGAAUGAAAAAGACUGUCCUGAUUUAUGAGAUUCCCUGGGUCUCCGCUUGUUACUAUUAUCACUACUGGCAAAAACACCACU